UACGUAGGGUGCGAGCGUUGUCCGGAAUUAUUGGGCGUAAAGAGCUCGUAGGCGGUCUGUCGCGUCUGCUGUGAAAUCCCGAGGCUCAACCUCGAGCUUGCAGUGGGUACGGGCAGGCUAGAGUGCGGUAGGGGAGAAUGGAACUCCUGGUGUAGCGGUGGAAUGCGCAGAUAUCAGGAAGAACACCGAUGGCGAAGGCAGUUCUCUGGGCCGUAACUGACGCUGAGGAGCGAAAGCGUGGGGAGCGAACAGG
rnacentral:rRNA from 1 species